rnacentral:rRNA from 1 species
UACGUAGGGUGCGAGCGUUAAUCGGAAUUACUGGGCGUAAAGCGUGCGCAGGCGGUUCUCCAAGUCCGUUGUGAAAGCCCCGGGCUCAACCUGGGAAUGGCAGUGGAAACUAGGGGACUGGAAUCUGGCAGAGGGGGGUGGAAUGCCGCGUGUAGCAGUGAAAUGCGUAGAUAUGUGGAGGAACACCGAUGGCGAAGGCAGCCCCCUGGGUCAACACUGACGCUCAUGCACGAAAGCGUGGGGAGCAAACAGG